UACGAAGGGAGCUAGCGUUGUUCGGAAUUACUGGGCGUAAAGGGCGCGUAGGCGGCUCUGCAAGUCAGAUGUGAAAGCCCCGGGCUUAACCUGGGAACUGCAUUUGAUACUGCAAGGCUAGAGAUUGAGAGAGGUAAGUGGAAUUAUGAGUGUAGAGGUGAAAUUCGUAGAUAUUCAUAAGAACAUCAGUGGCGAAGGCGGCUUACUGGCUCAAUACUGACGCUGAGGCGCGAAAGCGUGGGGAGCAAACAGG
rnacentral:rRNA from 1 species